CCAAGCCGUGAAGGUCGCCCUGAAAAGGGAAUGAUCUUUCACCUGGCCACCCUUGCUUACUUAACCUGUUGCUUUGGUGGGCCCGCCGCGAGGCCGCCGGGGAACCUAGUUCCCGGGCCUGUGCCCACCAAAGUCUUACCGAACUCUCUAACCGUAAGCUGUCUGAGCGUGAAAGCGCAACCAUUA
rnacentral:misc_RNA from 1 species